rnacentral:rRNA from 1 species
UACGGGGGGGGCAAGCGUUGUUCGGAAUUACUGGGCGUAAAGGGCUCGUAGGUGGCCAACUAAGUCGGACGUGAAAUCCCUCGGCUUAACCGGGGAAUGGCAUCCGAUACUGGAUGGCUUGAGUUUGGGAGAGGGACGCGGAAUUCCAGGUGUAGCGGUGAAAUGCGCAGAUAUCAGGAGGAACACCGGUGGCGAAGGCGGGUCUCUGGGCCGAUAUUGACGCUGAGGAGCGAAAGCGUGGGGAGCGAACAGG